GCAGGGGGCGUGGCAACCCUGUACUGUUAACGACGUUUUGCUCGAAAUUAACUCUCCGCUGUUCACACGGAAGCUGACUUGUGUUUACUCAGCAGGGUCAGUACCUAAGGUUUUCCCCUCUACUACAUCAUAGUAAUACGCUGUUGAUGAAUCUAUCCAUCCAUCUAUCUUCUCUUCUGGAUCUGGGUCAACAGAGUAGAAGUCUAAGCAGAGACAGAUCCCCCUCCUAGGCCACCAGGCCAGUGUGUCCUGGGUCUCCCCCGCGUCUUCUUCCCAGCAGGACAUGCCUAAAAACCCCUCACCUAGGUGGCUAUGUGUCUACACGUUUACAUUAUAUGUGUUUUGUGGACUUGGAGAAGACAUCUGACUCCACCAGGGUGUUGUUCAUUGUUUCAGUUCCAGUUAGAGCUUGGUUCCUGUGCUGGCAGUAAAGCAGACACAUUCCUGGUAGAAGCUGGAUCCCACCAAAGCUUCUCUACUGAAGUUUUACUUUUUCAGUAUCACUAAUGACGGCAACAAUAAACAAUAUCAAGAAAGAAAAAGAAUAAGAUAAAAUACAUAACUACUUGAUCUAAAUUAAGUUGGAGCAAAAUUCAUAUAGCAAAGCCAACUUAUUAGUUUUAAGGGGAUCAUUCAAAGUCAGCUAACUGACCAAUUGACUGAUGAAGUUGUGUACUGGUCAUGCAUUAAGACCAUGAGAAGAGCUGUAGGUGGGUGCUGAGUCAAACUUUGGUUGUGAAGUUGUUAAAUAAGCUCUGAAAGUACUACUGCCUCAGCAAUUCUUAUCCAUCCAUUUUCUUAUCCACUUUUCAAUUCAUGUUUGCGUGGGGUUGGGGGGCUUUCCAGCCAUUAUAAAGCCAGAAACUGGGGCAUAUCCUGGACAGAUCAGCAGUCUAUCAGUGUGAGAGGACUGUGAGAGGAAGCAGGAAUACCCAGUGUAAACCCACACACGGGAAGGCAUGGGGAGAACAUCCAAAAUCCAUGCAGGACCCAAGCCCAGGACCUUCUUCCUGUGAGGGGACAGUCCUAACCAUGACAGCACUAUGCCACCCUGAGAUAACAGCUACUCUAAUGAUAAGUAUUGCAUAUAAAGACAAAGGCCAUAGUGCAAUAUUAAUGAGUAAAUUUAAACAAAGCAGAAUUUUGCCCACUGAGUUUAAGUCACAUGUAUUUGACACAAUACCCCAGAGCAGUCAAUACUGUGGAAUUUUCAUUUGGCAUGUAAAUGUAUUUGUAAAAAGUACCGUUUAAAUCAACACACACGCAAAACCAAGAUGUUUACACAAGACUUAAAAAGUCAUGUGCUGAAAGCUGGAGAGGUGGAGUUGAAUGAACAAACCUUAUUUGAGGGAAUUUUUACCUGCAUGUUUAAUCAAGUCAUCUCUCACGUGGAAUAUACAGCAGGGUGUCAUCCAAACAUUAUCCUGUGCCAACCUGCAUAACAUGGAACCAUAAAACAUUUCUGGGUUUCCCAUGUGUUUACCUUUUGGCUGAAUCAGGAAUAUCAGCUAAUGUGACGAGAAGCUUUAUUUUCACAGUCUUUUUCCACUUACGGAAGUAAAACAGGUAAAACAGCUGUCUGUCUGUAAAAGGUACUAUGACAAAGACUCGGUGUUGGAGAGGCAAGGAUAUCUGAAACAGUGACAUGACAUCUUUUAUUUAUUUUUCCUUUAAAUGUAAUUAAUUAAAAUUUCAAAGUAAAUUAUUGUAUACAAAAAGAAAAAUAAACAGAUGUAUUAAGGAGAGGUUUUGUCCACAGUGACGACCGUUCACACAUGUACUUAACACUGUGACUUCUCUGUGUGACAUAUCUCUACACGGUUUAUUUAAGUUAGCGUUUGUCACGUGAAGUUGCCAGGAAGGUGACUGAUGAGAAGUUCCCGCUGCCGUUGCAAUUCACUGAUGGUACAUGAUAGCUUGGCGUGAUAUGAGUCACUGCAGCAUGAAACUAUCACAUAAGUCCAGUUCAUUUUGCUUUUGAUUCAUGAAUUCACAGGGGAAAAACUGAAGAUGAACAAGCAUGGGAUGCUAUUUUUCCCACGAAUUCAUGGUAGGAUCAUGUCACACCUGAUGGCUCAGGUGGUUCAAAGUCCAAAAACUCCAGCCAUGACUAGAUGAAAUUUCAUCUGGCAGUUUAACUUCUGUUUCACUUCCAGGAGAGAAGAAGUUUCAGAAUUCAUCAAAGUCCACCCCAGCUCCAAGUAUAUCUCAAACUAUAUCACUACUAGUGCUAAAUUAAUGCUACUCCGUUCUUCAAAUACAAGAAUAAAUAAAACUGACAGAAAUUUAUUUUGAAAGUCAGUCCCUCUCUCUGCUGGUCAUGUAUUGACCAUCCACACUGUUAAAUAUUUAGCUUACAAAUUGGUGUCAUAUGCAUUAAUAUAUGUAUAAUUUCCAUUGUUAGUUACCUAACAUGUCAUUCAAGAUUAAAACUAUACUGUCUAUGAUUAAAACAAAACUAUCUGAAGCAAAACCCUUGUAUAAUUAACCCAGUUACCAUUCAAUCCAAUGGUUUUAAGAGACUACUAGGCUACUAUAUUAUUAUUAUUAUUAUUAUUAUUAUUAUUAUUAUUAUUAUUAUUAUUAUUAUUAUAAAAAACUCUCCACCACCCGGAGUUUACGUAUCUUAAAGCAAGCCAUUCAGUCAACGACUAAACGUUAUAAUGUAACGCUACUAUUUAAGUGACCCAUGACGACCAAUAGAGGGAGCCAAACUACACCAUCUAACUCACUUUAGCCUUCAAGUAAUCAGUCUGUCCCUUACUAUACUUACUUUAAAAAAAAUCAUCAUAGAUUUGUUUUGUUUUGGUUGAUU